rnacentral:lncRNA from 1 species
AUGGGAUCCUCCCUAAAAUGGCCUAAAAGUGAUGUAUGGGAUGGUUUAGGGUCUAGAGGGGUGGGCACGAGGUUGGAUCCCACAAAGGGUUUCAGCUCGGGUACCCCAGAGUCUGAAUUUUGGUGCCUCUCCCCACAGCUCCCAGCAGCGCAGCGGGGGCCCAGGCGUGGUGGCGGGGGCCGCAGCCCCCCCGGCAUGGAUUCAACGCUGCGGCCCAGCAAGGCGAGGGGCCUCGCCUCCAGCACCGAGCUGAGCAUGAAGCAACCACCGCCGGCACCCGAGGGCCGCUCCCGCUUGCAGAAAGUCUCGCUGGUGUCGCGACGGCUGGAGCAGACGGCGGCCGGGGGGGGCCGUGACGGCAGCCCCUCCCGCGUCUCCCUCCUGCUGCAGGCUUGGGAGAGGGAGAUCGUGGAGAAGACAUCGACCGGGCCGGCCCCGGUGGCACCCCGGAGCUGCUCGUCCUCCGUCAGCGUCCUCAAGGACUUCACGGCGCACGGCCCCGUCUUCUCGCAGGUCUACUCGCCCGCUCAGAAACCCCGGAAGAAAGAUGAGAAGCAGGGGGGUGACAGCAACACGGCUGCGCCCCGGGACGUCCCCGUGCACCGGGAGAGCUACAUGCACGGCGCCCUCCUCCCCGCCAACCCCGCGGCCACCGCAGCCCCCUGCCACCGCUCGCCCCGCGGUGGCCCCGGCGCAGCCGAGCCCAGGGCCAGGCACGUCACGGUGCUGCGGGGGGGCAAGGAGGGAGCUGGCAGCAAGCCGGGGGGCGCAGAGGGGAGGAGAACCCAAAACGGGGUGCACAAGGCUGCCGGCACCCCCACGGCCCCGUCGCAGAGGGAGAGCUGUGAGCAGGGUGCUGGUGGCUCCGCCGAGGUCGCGGCACGCACGGGAAGCUCGCCGGGUGCCUCGGGUGCUGGGGGAGCCCCCGGGGAAAAAUGUUCGAGGCAAGGUGAGGCUGUGACAGUGAAGGCGGCGUCAAGAGAUGGCGACAGGCCCCAGGACCAGCAAACCAGUAAAACCAGUGCCCAGCAGCCCCCAGAGGACGUCGGCAGCCAGGCAGAUCAGGCUGGUGUGGGAGAGGGAAGCACGGUGGUGGAUGGGGAUGGCACUGGUUUGGCCACACUGUCCAGGACAGAGAGCUCUGGGGGAGCUGAUGGCACCCCCAAAAACCUCUCCUUGGAGGUGAGCAAUGGUCCUGAGCCCUUACCUGAAGCACGAGCAUCUCCAAAGGGUGCAGAAGCUGAGAAGGAGGAGGGGGAGAUGUCGGGGGACCCCCAAAAAAUGGUCCAAGGGCCUGAGAGCAUCCCUGAGCCCCAACCUGAGACCAUCCCAGAGCCCCCCACGGAGACCACCCCUGAGCCUCCCACGGAGAGCACCCCAGAGCCCCAACCUGAGAGCACCCCAGAACCCGAGCGCACCCCAGAGCCCCCGCAGAACCCCCCAGCCCCUUCCCCACUGCCCGAGAGCCCCCCGGACGCGGCGGAGGAGGACCCCGAGCUGGUGGUGGACAUGGAGAUCUUCGUGGACACGCUGCGCAACAUGGAGCCCUCGGAGAUGCGGAAGGCACCCAAGGCUCCUCGCCAGCCCCGGCCCUCAGCGCUGGGUCGCUGCGCGGCGCUGCCGCCCAUCCACGAGGACCGCGUGGCCCCGCGCGCCCCCGUCUCGCUGCCCGACGCCCUGCGGGAGCUCCUGGUGAGGGGCGGCGGGGGGCGGCGGGCAGAGCCCCCCCUGGAGAGCUCCAGGAGCCUCAAGGAGGAGGAGGAAGAGGAGGAGGAGAUCGAGAACCCCUACCUGAGCCCCGGGGAGAGGGCGUCGCGGGGGUCUCGCCGUGGCACCGGGGGGCUGGACACGCUCCGGGGGGGACCCAAGCUGGAGGGAGCAGAGGAGAGAAGCAAAGCGGCGCCGGGCAGGGCGGCGGGGGAGCGGAGCGUGCUGUUCCGAGGGAACGUCCUGAAGGGCAUGGCGCUGCUCUCCGAUUUCCUGGAGCACCGGGCGGCCGCGGCGGACGAGGCCAAGCCCUACUCGCGCCUGGACAACAGCGUGCUCUACAGCCGCUUCGUCGCCCCCACCCCACCCUACAGGGAGCAGCGGGACCAGAGCUCGCCCCCCGGUGAGCACCCCGGCACGGAGGUGGCCGAGCUGCAAGCCCCAAGUCCUGGUCACAUCCAGCCUGUCACUGAAGAGCCGGAGAGCACCACGGAGCCGUGCCCCGCUGAUGUGCCGGUGAGUGACACCCGUCCCAUGGCUCCUGGGGGUGCUCUGCCCUGCUGGGCGCACGGGAGGUGGUGGGGUCUGGCUUUAUGGCACGUCUGA